UACGUAGGGUGCGAGCGUUAAUCGGAAUUACUGGGCGUAAAGCGUGCGCAGGCGGUUCGUUAUGUCCGUUGUGAAAGCCCCGGGCUCAACCUGGGAAUGGCAAUGGAAACUGGCGGGCUAGAGUGUGGCAGAGGGGGGUGGAAUUCCACGUGUAGCAGUGAAAUGCGUAGAGAUGUGGAGGAACACCGAUGGCGAAGGCAGCCCCCUGGGUCAACACUGACGCUCAUGCACGAAAGCGUGGGGAGCAAACAGG
rnacentral:rRNA from 1 species